rnacentral:rRNA from 1 species
GAUGAACGCUGGCGGCGUGCCUAAUACAUGCAAGUCGAGCGAACAGACGAGGAGCUUGCUCCUCUGACGUUAGCGGCGGACGGGUGAGUAACACGUGGAUAACCUACCUAUAAGACUGGGAUAACUUCGGGAAACCGGCGCUAAUACCGGAUAAUAUAUUGAACCGCAUGGUUCAAUAGUGAAAGACGGUUUUGCUGUCACUUAUAGAUGGAUCCGCGCCGCAUUAGCUAGUUGGUAAGGUAACGGCUUACCAAGGCAACGAUGCGUAGCCGACCUGAGAGGGUGAUCGGCCACACUAGAACUGAGACACGGUCCAGACGCCUACGAGAGGCAGCAGUAGGGAAUCUUCCGCAAUAGGCGAAAGCCUGACGGAGCAACGCCGCGUGAGUGAUGAAGGUCUUCGGAUCGUAAAACUCUGUUAUUAGUGAAGAACAAAUGUGUAAGUAACUAUGCACUUCUUGACGGUACCUAAUCAGAAAGCCACGGCUAACUACGUG